CUCUCAAUUCUAAAUAAAAGUAUCGCUUUCACAGCUACAAAACACAAACUCUCCGCCCCGCCGAUCCCCGCCGCCGCCUCACGAGGGCGGCUUCGCCCCCGACCCAAGAUGGCGGCCGGGGAGCGCGGCGGGGGCGGUGUUCUGACGGCUCCAAGAUGGCGGCGGGGGCUGGCGGGACUACAGCUCCCACAGCGCUGUGCGCUGCUCUCCAUCCCGCACAGCGGCGCGGCCCUGGGGCGGUGCUGCCCGUCGCCCGGUGUGCUGAGCUCAGCGAAGGCCGCACCGAUGUCUCUCUCCGAGCUGGACAAGCCCGACUCCCUCAGCCUUUCCUCAGUAGAAAGGUGCUGUCAUGGAAGGCACCACCCGGGCUCAGCCAGCAGGGCAUGCUACUCUGUAGUAUGACUCAAAGCCAUUUUAGAAAGAAACAUCCAGGAACAAAUCGUCCUGUGCAGUCCAUCAGCCAGGUUCAUUCCCUUCUUUCCCUUCCUGCUUCACAAACUGGAGAGAAACACCUGAAAAAUCCCCUCUGGUCCCUCAGCAUCUGGCUGUCCUUAACUUGUGGUGAGCAACCAAGAAAGGAAAAAGCCCUCCAAACCAUGUAUUUAUUGAGCGUGUUGGAGCGUGUUGAGUAGGUUGAGAUCCCUUGUUUAUCCCUAUUCUUUCAGCAGGAUUGUUUGGGCCUAGCAAGGCUUGGCAAGAUCAUGUGUAAAUAGGAGAGGGUACCAGAAGGAAAUGAAGCUGGAUGGUUGGGCAGUGUGCUCAUUUCUUUGGCAGCACAGUGCAUGGGAAGCUUGUCACAGCAGGCAUUGUAACACACAGGGAUGUUCCUUUUGGUCCUGUGGACUGAUGUCAGUUUUUUCAGUACUCUCGAUCCCUACUCUGAUUUUUUUUUUCCCCCCAGAAUUUAGUUGGAAUUAACACCAUGACCCAUUUGCCCACAUGGAAGGCGCAGACGCUUUAUAUCCUCAGUCUCUCCCCAAGCUCCUAUUCCAUUUGAAACUCCUGGCCAUUGAAUGUCACCUUCCACUCCUGCACAUCGAAUAUGUCCCAACUCCUCUUCAUAUGCACAUGUGUCAAGACUAGAAAUGUGUCAAAGUAAGGAAGCAGCUGACAAUCCUUUCAAGUUUCCUUUGUUUUCUUAAUGUAAUUAUCUCCUAAUAGUUGAUUCUUUCUUGUAAAUUUUCUGUUCUAGGAACUAUAUAAUAUGGUGCAUCAUUAGCAGCUCACUGUAAUGAAGGUGGCACUGGAAUGAACAUCAAAUUUGUCUCUUCCUGCCAUCUCCAUUUAUAUGUUCCGUUAGAAAUGACAAAAUCCAUACAAUCUCACAUCUCACUGAAUUUUCUUUGCAGGGUUUCCCUGCAGGGCUGUCUCUCAGCAUGAAGGAUAAGGCAGGGUAGUAUCAACCUGUAAUAUUGCAUUUCUGAUACUUCCUCGUUACAUAUCCAUUACUCAGCACUGAUGCAGACAAGAUGCUGGGCUAGGUGUGACCUAUCCACAGAUCUAUCUUUCCUGAGCCUAUAUCCACAAAUAUACCUCUUAUCUAAUCCUGGUUAUCUAUAUUUUUCGACAAGGUCCUGAACACCUGAGAUGCUGAGUGAAGUGUUUUGAAUAGGAUGGCAGGAUUCACUCAGCACCCAAAGUGUGCACCUGCUUGCGAAGCCUGUCCACGUGCAGUAGUUUGUGAUACACCAGAGGAAAGAAAUCCCACCCAAUAUUUAUUUUCCUGGCAAACAGACUGGAGUGGAUGCCAGAGGAGGAAGAAUCAACAGCCUCGAUCCCAAGGCUUUGGUACCCUUCCCUUACCUGGGCUUUUGCCUUCACCAGGGACCACCGUUCUGUUGCAGAGAAGGAUUUGUCUUUGGAUCAAAGGAUAAUAAUCACUGUAGACCAUGCCAACCUCGGUUACUGCUAUUAUGGCCAGUUUCUGGUCAGUACUGAAAGCUUUAAGCUCGUCCUUGCCAUUAGAUGGCAAUGUAGAUCCACAAAUCUUCCUUCCUUGAGCCCCUGGAAAACCAUCUUGCUGCUGGUGGGUAGAACCUCAAAUCCUGUUUCCGCCUACUUCACCAUUUAAGACUGAAGCGUCCUGGAUUUGUUUUGCCUACAAACAAAUGGAGCUGUCUGCCUGGGAGGCCGGCUCCUCUAGAGUCCCCAGUGGCAUGAGUGCUUGCUUUCCGCACUGAGGGCCCCCCUUUGUGCACAGAGGUUUGUUUUUUCACUCUUCCAGCAGUUAAUUCAUCUCUUGUUUUGCUAUUUCCACAAGACAUUUUGCUAUCUUGCUUGUUUCUCAGCUUACUGCCAAACCUGGCAGGCGAAUGAGUCAUGGGCUGCCGCAGGCCAAACCCCGGAGCAUACAGACUGCUUCCUAGGGUCAUGAAUCUCCCAUCUGGGACGUUAUAAAGAACUGCAGCAAGAAAUAACUACACUGCAAAAUGCUUUUCCCCAUAUCCAUUUUUCAGCUUUCCAUUGUUUGCAGUUGACUGGUUCAUUUAACAUGGGCCUUACCGCUUUUUAUUCUUUUUCCUUCACAUUUCCCUUUUCCACCAGAAAAUGUCACCAGCUCACAUCCAACUUACAAGCAGAAAAAUCUCAGUUCCAAACCCAAGCAAGUUUCCUCCUUCAAAGCUGAAGAUACACAGCUUUUUGGGACGCCUAUUUUAACGCCCAUCCCAGAGUCCAGCAGCCCCCACCACAGCAAUAUUGAUGCAGGGCAAAAGCAAGGGAAGUCGUGGGGCCUUUUGGAGUCAAAUACACGCACCACAGCAGGAUCUGUCUGGCUUGGUAACUUCAGUAGUAUUAGUGGUAGAAAUCCUUGUUUGUACCAAGGAGGAUGCAAGCAGGAUCAACCCCCCUUUUUGUGACAUUUUAAAAAAAAUCUGUUAUGUUGCUGAAGCAGAUGGAUCACUCCUGCCUGUUGUCUGGAGCAGGGCAGGAUGAAAAGGCAUUUUACCCUUGCCAGCCAAGAAUGGGAGAUGGUGGAUGGGAAUCCAAUGGAACAGAGACGAUGUCCAGCCUUCAAGCACAGGCAGACAACAGGGCAGGGUGAAUGCAAAGACUGUCAUCUUGCCCCCAUCGCUCACAUCUCCCAAUCUGUGUUACUGUAAGCGCCUUCUAGUUUUUCUGUGUUUUAAAUGGCCUAAACAAUGAGGAAUUUGCCCUUAUUCCGAGGAGAGAAUUGCUCCUCCUUCACAGAAAGGCCCUCUUUAUUCCUGGUGCACAAGAUGUUAAUGGUGUUUCUAAGCACUCUAGCAGAUGUGAGCAGCAUGCUGGAGAUAAGUUAUAUCAGAAGAAGUGUUAUCACUUGAGCUUACAUGUUUUGUGCUUUUCCAUUGCACUCUAAAAUGCUGUUGCAUUUAAUUAGCCAUUUUUCAAAGCAUUUAUUAUUCAUUUAUUAGCUCUUUGUUCAUUUGCUGUAGAUGUAUCUUGACAUCUAAAGCUAGCCCAGUCAUUUUAUAACCAAGUGCUGGGUGAUAUAGAAAAGGCCUUACUCAUCCUUCUUAUCUGCAAAGCACUUGGCACAUGGUGGUACAGCUCUAGCUGGGGCCUUUGGGUAUUCCAGGAAUAUAAAUACCAGCACCUUAAGCUGCCCCAUUGCCUAGGAUAUCAGGAGCACUGGAUGAAUUGAGUGGCAGGUUGCAUUUUGGACUGGAGUUUUCUAGCUGUAGGUUAUCGCUGUCAAACCUUGGGAUUCACUGCCAGCGGAAUGAACCCUUCCCAGCCCUGUGCUCCCGAGCAGCCAGUGUGGCUUCAGAGCUCACACCACUGCACCUCCCUCUGCACUGCUGAGUAAUGGAGCAGGAGAGCAAUCAUAGCAUAGAGAACUCUCCCACAGGAUUGUGGAUAUAGGGAAAUUUAACACAAAACUCUCCUUCGGUACCUAGUGACACACAGCUGUGGGCACAACGUGGUAAACCUGGCCAGUCAUCUCUAAUACCUCAUUCCUUGUUUUCUGUCUUUCUAACCACAGACUCACCCUAAGCAAACAGAAAAAAGGAAGAAGAGUAAAAUUUUCAGCUUUACCAUGAGUGCUGGGUUCAGAUGGUGUCAGGAAUCAGCAAAGCAUCUCCCUUACCUGAAAGGGCAGAGCUGACAGACUGCUUUCCUCAAAGACUUAUAGGCAGGGGAAUCAGGGCUGUAUUUUUCCCAGAUGCUGCAAUUUCCAUAUGACUGCUACCAAGAAAUGGAGAAACCUUUCUAUCCUCCUUGAGAAACAUCCCACUUUUUUGUCUUCCUCUGCAAGCACAGCAGGUAGCAAAACACAGCCAUUGCCAAAAAAAAAAAAAAAAAAAGGCUAAGAAAUAUGUGUCUCUAUUCUGGUAAUAUGAGAAGAUAUUAUAAGGCCUAAGAUUACUUCAACCAACAAAAGACAUGCUAAUGAAGCACCUAAUUUAAGCAGGUGUUUCUCUUUUGCUGCAGUCAAUGGAGUAUAGAGGAGGAGAGAGCAGAGGAGGAGACUUUAUUUUAUUAAAUGCUGUUGCUUUAGUCCUUAAAAAAAAAAUCAUAGCCCACCUAGGUUUUAAAUAGCUUUUGAGGCUUUCCUAAUGAAUGUUUCUCAAGUGUUUGCACAUUUUCUGUUUGCCCUCACUAUGAGGAAAUGCUUAAGUCAAUAGGAUUUUAUUUGAUUUGUAAAUAAUGCCAGGGCGACACAUUAUUGCAGAUUCUCAGAACUCUGACUCCAUGUCUUGUCCUCCAGAUAUGACAUGCCAGAGAUAUCGCCCAAUUAGGGCAGGGCAGAGGAUGAGGCUUAAAAUAACUUUGAGAAAAGACCAUCUCGAACUUCAUCCUGCACUUCUGUUUAGCCCACAGACCGUCAGGAGCUUGUGAAGUAAUUGCUUUGGACAGAUAAUAAAACAUCCUCCAGCAAAACUAAGGUACUUAAUAUACUGCCCAAGUCAAUUUCCCUUAUUUCUUCUGUCCUCUUGCUUUUAAUAAUGGUUUAAUGAAAAAUUCAAAAUUAAUUGGAACUGGCAUUAGCCAUUCACGUGUUCCAGUGAGGGUUUCACUCCUUCAAUAUUUCAUAAGCUGACUUCACUGCUACGCCUUGCCUUCUCCUGGCUUUCACAGGCUAAAACAUCACCUCUUUUUUAGAGGGGAAUGGCCCCAAAACAGGGUGGGGGCACGUGAGAAAGUUUGCAAUUGCACCAUAGGCAAAGAAAUAAUACAACUAAUUGCUGCUGUGUUUUCCUUUCUUGUGACCAUCCCCACCUUCUAUGUAAUUAUACACAUCUGAGCCUUAUCUGGAAAGAGCUGUCCUAAAAAUAAACAGGAGCCGUCUGAAAGGUGUCUGAGGGAGGUAUCUGGCAGCUGUCAGGCUGUCAUGUAUGCGAGAAGGAUGGAGCUGAUGGACUCGCUGACACCAGACGGGCUCUGCCGAAAUAAGAAUGCCUUAUGCUUCCCUUGGCACUCACUGGGCAAAUUCUGUUGGCUGGAGCCAUUAGACCUCAGCGUGUCUGGGGCGUGAUCCAGGUCCAACUGCCGUCAAUGAGAGUCUGCCCUUGGACGGCAAUGGGAAUUGGAUCAGACCUUGUCUUUACCCCCGAGACUCUGGCAUUACAACAGGGAUAACUUUUGGCUCCUCGAGUGAAUGUCACCCCAAUGGAGAAGGAUGCAACACACUCCAGAUUUGCAGGCUUUUGUAGUUCUCUGAAAAUGCAGCUUUUCACUGAGAUUCCUGACAUGGGAACAAGAGCCCAACUUUAGACUUUUUCUUUUUUUUAACAGCUUUGUACUGCUCUGUGCCUCAGAUUCUCCUCUCUAAUAAUGGUGGUGGUGCCCUGUUGUCAAGAGAAUUAUUGAUAUAUCUGUAGAUCCAUUCUGUUUAUAAACGCUGCCGUGCAGGAGGGCAUGACUGUGCUAAAAGCUGUUCCUAUUUCCCACAAGGUGCUUAAAGGACACGUGUUAACACCAUGCAGCAAUGACACUAUGAGCAUGAAGGCAUGACAUGACUCAUCUCAAGCCUUUGCAGCAACUCAGUGGCAGAGUGAGGACCCAAGAAUUCCGGUCCCCACCAAAACAAUCAUACCUUUACAAUGACUGAAUCUGGAAAGGAGCACUUGCUAGCAGAAGCUUCAUUUCCUAUCAGGUGCACAGGGAAACAUCCCUUGCCUGUAGAAUAGCUGAAUACAUUUGCUGCUGUUAUUGGUGAAGAUAUAAUGUUCGGGGAAGGGAAAGGAGAAAGGAGGUGAGAAAACUGGGCAGAAGUCUUGUUUCUCUAUGGGAGAGGGGACACAUCUCUUGUUCUCAAUGGGAGCUGAUUGCUGCCAUACCUGAAAAUCUGUCUAUUUGUUUCAUUAUCUAAUAGGCAAGAAAAUGCCCUUUUUAGUGAAGAGCAGUGCCUUAGGACAACUAUCUUGCAGUACUUUGGUCUGGAAAUACCAGUCUGUGUUGAGAAGAAUGGACAAGGGAAUUAAUUCCUGUAAUAUGGGCUGCAGGAAAUUACCUACAAGAUAAGAGUGACUUGAUCUUUCUGAGAAAAAGGAAAAAAAAAAAAAAAAGAAAAAAAAAGAAAGCCUUCCUUAUCUUGAUGAUGUUUGCUCUGAAGUAUCAUCUUGUGACUGCCAGAGUCUGCCUUGCGGGAUCGUUCAAUUACAGCCAGCUCCUGCGGCGGGCAUCGCUUCCUUCCUCUGGACGUAUCACUGCAUCUACUGAAGCAGUGCUUGCUCCCCAAGCCUCUGCUAUCGCCUUUCUGCACGGUGAGCCUGCAGCCCCGUGAUGCUAUCUCUGCUCACGUGUUGGGGCAGGAUACGACCAAUACUUCAAUUAGGCAGAGAUCUGCGAGGGACAGGAAACCAAGCCGAUGAACCACCAAGGAGCAUGUGUGAGUCAGUACCAGACCUGUGAUGGUAUGAGGAGCAAUGAAUGAAUCCUAUCCCUUUUGGAGGGUCCCAACCCAUUCUCCUACAAUUCAGACGUCCUAGGGCAAAGCAGCACUGCAGUUCACACCAGCAGGGCUCCGAAUGUCCUUCCGUAUGCUGUGGUUCUCCCCCAUGAGGAAGUUUUCACUAUGCAGAGUAUUUUUCUCUAUUAAAAUGAUUAUGUUAAAUAGCUGAGAGGUUCCUCAAUGUCUACUUUUUGAACUGAGCUAUCCCACACUUGGCAGGUUUUGAGAACAGCAGACAUGAGGUUACUAAACCCAUUCAUUUCUCAAACGCACCCACAUUUCUAAUGGCUACAGAGAUCCAUCUUUAAAGUCCUCUGAGACCCAUUGGAAUGAAGGGCACUUUGUGAGGAUGCAGUAAUUAUUAUGGGAUUUGGAGGUGCAUGGAAAUGAUUCACGGAGGCAUUUCCCAGCCAGUACUCUUGGAGCCAGGUGAGCUCUUCCCUGGAAUGUGAAGCAUGCAGCGCAGCAACUGGGAGGAACAGGUUUGGCAGGACAUUUUAAGCUGUGCACUGCAGACAGCCUCUUCAGAGCCACAUCCCUGCUCUGCCUACCUCCCAGCUGGAUGCUCCUCUCUGCCUCACUGUCUCUGGAGAGCCGGAGAGGAUGGACACACUGCGAAGGAGCCUUUCUCGCUGGAAGAGGUACCACAUUAAGGUGCACUUGGCUGAUGAGGACGUGAUGAUGCCGCUGACCGUCAAGCCCAGAGACACAGUGAUGGACCUACGGGCUUACCUGGUACGGGAGGGCGUCACUUCCUGGAAGAAGACAUUUUAUUACAACUCCAGGCAGCUUGAAGAGCACGAGACUUUGAAAGAGGCCAAUAUCCAGAAUGGUUCAGUGCUGCUCCUUGUCAGCAACAAAAGAUAAUGCCAAAGAGCACAGCAAAAGCCAUGGGAGACGGGGAGCGUGACAAGGGCUGAAAGGAAGCAGAUGGAAGGGAGCCUGGCCAUGGAGCGCAGUGUGGCCACGGGCGCUGCGAGCCAUGUGGUCAAAGCUGCCCAAGGAGAAGCGUGGGUUGGGCUGACUCAGCUCCUGAGGGCAAUGAAUCAGAGUGAAAUGCCCAUGAAAGGGUAAAUUCUGCCUGAGUGGUGAAGCAAGAAGGAGCUGAGGUGGGCUUUGCUGAGGGCCUCUGGUGGGAACGGUGGACUUCUGAGCCCUUGAAGGAUUCCUCAAGAUAGGCUUUGAUUGACACUUCAGAUCUGCCUGACAAUCUUUUAUUCUAAGUGCAGUUGCUGCUUUUCUUCAGAGCAAGAAGAGCAGGUUUGGUUGCUGUCCUUCAAAUGAUGGAUCUUAUCACAUGGGAAAAAGACGAAAAAAAGCAAACCACCUGCAAACAGCCACAGGUGUGGACAAGACUGAGGACUGAAGCUGAAAGGUGUGCAGGCUCCCAUCUUCAUGCCAGCCUGGGCGUACUGUAACGUGGGGACAUCUGCAACUUCAUGCGCUGCACCAUGGAUGGACUUUCUUCUUGUCAGGAGUGUUUGCCUUUGGGAUCCUCCUAUUGUUGGGGCAUCACUGAGAGGAUUACUGUCUGCUCUUUGCUGCUGCAUUCACCUCCACUUGCAGCUGCAGCCAGGCCUUCCCAACCAGCUGCUUUUCCUGAGCUGCAGGAGCAGAAGACAAGCCCAGGCAGGGCCAUCUGUGCAGCUGCUGUGCUCCAGCAGGGCAGUCAGGCUGAGGCACGCUGCAGUUCUGCUUCUCUCCUCUACCCGUGUCGUGGAUGCAUCAAGCACUUCUGUUUACAGGGCCAUCAGUCUGGCAGCUUUCCUCGACACUAAAUUUACUUUUUGAAGUUACAUCAGUGUUGUACCCAGAGGGAAUGGAGGAACAGAUGCAGCCUGUGAAGUCUGGCUUUAAUUCACCUGCCUCAUUUAAUUUCCUGCCCUGCCUUCUAAUCAAUGAGUCUGCACUGGCAGCCCUGGGAAUACAGAGGUUUUCUCACAUACAGGAGAGCUCAAUGUGGUGGGUCUCAGGGUCUCCAGCAGGCCAUGUCCCAUCUCCUUUGAGGUUUUCUCUGCCCCAGAAGCACUGCACACACUGAUGUGGCUGCAUCGCAUUUCCUCCAUUGGGCCAGUGGUGUUCCUUCACCAGGGCUGCAGCAUCGCAUCACCUCAGAGCUGUUCACCUCAGAUACUUGGGACUGUCAGGAAACACUGAAGAAAGGGGCUGGGGCUUUUCUGCUUUGCUGAGCAGGCUCCCACUGUCCUGUUUCUUUUUUUUCCCUUGAGCUCAUGUUAAUUCCAGGCAGCGCUGCCCAGUUGCUUAAUCAGCCAGUGUCAAAACCCUGGGAGAGAUGAAGGCUGCCCUUGGUUGGCAGCACUUAUUUUGUGACGUGUCUGCUUCACCUCAUGUAUUAUAAUCUGUAUCAGAUUGCUCUUUGCUUGCUAAAAUGGACAAUUAGGAUCCAGUUGUAAUGCAAAUUGCACAGUGGAAUAAAAACCAUGGGGAACAAAAUCACAAA